AGAGUUUGAUCCUGGCUCAGGAUGAACGCUAGCGAUAGGCCUAACACAUGCAAGUCGAGGGGCAGCACAUGAGUAGCAAUACGAUGGUGGCGACCGGCGCACGGGUGAGUAACACGUAUGCAACCUACCUCUAACAGGGGGAUAACCCGUUGAAAGACGGACUAAUACCCCAUAAUACAGGGGCUCCGCAUGGAGAUAUUUGUUAAAGAUUUUAUCGGUUAGAGAUGGGCAUGCGUUCCAUUAGCUAGUUGGUGAGGUAACGGCUCACCAAGGCGACGAUGGAUAGGGGAACUGAGAGGUUUAUCCCCCACACUGGAACUGAGACACGGUCCAGACUCCUACGGGAGGCAGCAGUGAGGAAUAUUGGUCAAUGGAGGCAACUCUGAACCAGCCAAGUCGCGUGAAGGAUGAAGGUCUUAUGGAUUGUAAACUUCUUUUGCAGGGGAAUAAAUAGCGGUACGUGUACCGUUUUGCAUGUACCCUGCGAAUAAGGAUCGGCUAACUCCGUGCCAGCAGCCGCGGUAAUACGGAGGAUCCGAGCGUUAUCCGGAUUUAUUGGGUUUAAAGGGUGCGCAGGCGGGAGAUUAAGUCGGCGGUGAAAUUUUGCAGCUCAACUGUAAAAGUGCCUUCGAUACUGGUUUCCUUGAGUGUGGAUGAAGUAGGCGGAAUUUGUGGUGUAGCGGUGAAAUGCUUAGAUAUCACGAGGAACUCCGAUUGCGCAGGCAGCUUACUAAACCACUACUGACGCUCAGGCACGAAGGCGUGGGGAUCAAACAGGAUUAGAUACCCUGGUAGUCCACGCAGUAAACGAUGAUUACUGGCUGUUUGCGAUACAAUGUAAGCGGCUGAGCGAAAGCGUUAAGUAAUCCACCUGGGGAGUACGUUCGCAAGAAUGAAACUCAAGGAAUUGACGG
rnacentral:rRNA from 1 species